rnacentral:rRNA from 1 species
CCGAAAGUAGCGGCGAGCGAAAUUGGACUAGCCCUUAAGCUUUACACGCGUUAGACGAACGGUCUGGAAAGUCCGACGAUACAGGGUGAUAGUCCCGUAGUUGACGACGUGUGUUCAGUGAAAUCGAGUAGGGCGGGACACGUGAUAUCCUGUCUGAAUAUGGGGGGACCAUCCUCCAAGGCUAAAUACUACUGACUGACCGAUAGUGAACCAGUACCGUGAGGGAAAGGCGAAAAGAACCCCUGUGAGGGGAGUGAAAUAGAACCUGAAACCGUGUACGUACAAGCAGUAGGAGCA